AACCGAAUACCGAAUGCCCACCCCUAGUUCUAACCGAGGCUUGUCUAUUGCUUGUUGAAAACUAUUUCCAAACCCCCUCUUCGGCCUGGGUUUGCCCGUGGCCGUUGAGAAUUUUUGGAAUGGCUCCUCUAAUGGGGUAAAGCC
rnacentral:snRNA from 1 species